ACUGCUGAUAGCAGGCCCACUGUACCUGAGGUAGCAUCUCUAAUACUAUGGGGAAGGAUCUAUCUGUGACACGCGGGAAAGGGCGCUGUAAAUUAUUUAGAGAUUUACUUAGCUCGCUCGCUUUUCAUUGCACCAAAUGCAGAUUUGGGGGCCUCGAAGCAUGAAAGCCCAGAAACGCAAAUCGAGCACCCCAGAACCACAGCCCAUUAGUUCUAAAGCCUUAAAGAGGGAUGAGACAACCUGUGCCCCUCAGAUCUCCAACGGUAGUCCACUCUGAACUCUCUGUUAACAGACAUAUCUCAAUUUCCACCCCUGCUAAGGGAAAGGGCUUUGGGAUGACGGUCCCAGAUGGGGCUGUCACAAAGGAGACACUCUCCCAGGUUCAAGCAGAGGACCAUUGCUUCAUGUACGGAGGGAUGAGAAAAGGAAGGGGUAAUGGAAAAGAGAGAGGGAUGACAAGUAACACAGUGUGUGUUGCUGAGAUAUGAAGGGAUAUGGGAGUUUGUGUGCAAGGGCAUUUAAUUGGUUUUACAUGCUUCAGUGGUGGGAAUGUGAUCAUCUCCUAUCUCAUUGUUAUAUCUUAGUUUUGUGUCUGCUGCAGGCCAGCUUAAGAAUGGGGAUGUUUGUCAGCUAUAUCCCAGCCCCUCCGAGGCAGAAGAGGAGGAAUUAGCUGUAAAGCUACAGUUAUUUUCUCUCUGCCCCAUGGCAUUUUUUUUAUUUUUUAUUUGCAUGAAAUUAGUUAUUAAAUAGCUAAAUCUUCUCUUUGUCCCAAGACAAAAUAUGUAGAAUUGCAGCAAACUUGCUUUCCAACCCCCUUGGCAAAAUGUGUGGAAUUGCAGGAAAUUAGCUCUCUCCACUGUCAAGAGGGGCCCCGCUAAAAGGUUUUGCUCCCAACAAUUUCACGUAGGGCCCCCAAAAGUCUAGGGCUGGCUCUGACUGCGUGUGUGUGUGGGUAUGGAUGUUGGUAGUCAGCCCAGUGAGCCACUGCAGUCCCUCAUGAUGAGUUGCUCAUACCUGCUCUAUAGGAAGUGAACGUACCCAACAUUUUGGAAACACUGAAUCAGAUUUCUAGUGUAUGAGAAUUGGGUGUCUGUUUUGAUUACUUACUUCCGUCUGAAGAUGGAGAGGAAUGUGGGGGCCAGAGGCUGACAAUGAGGAAGAGCAGCUCGAAAAUGAAGAGCACUUUAGACAAUGUGCAGGAAGAGGGACACUCCGUGGCUGGAAAAAGGUCAUCGGAAGUUUCAUCCAGUGACAGCGAUGAGGAUGAGUUUGAGCAGCUGGAUCUGGAGAGGAAGUCACAGCAACACAACUUGACCUCCGUCAACGUUCACCCAUCCUCCAUGUGAAUUACCUGGAGUCUCAAUCCGGUUACACGCUCCAGCAGGAGGAGAUAACCAACGAGCAUGUAGUGGCCAUGACGAAAGCAGCCAUCCAGGAGAUGCAGGACCUAGCCCUAUUUGAGCCCAAGAUGACCCGCCCCAGACUGAAGGAGGGGGUAGAAAAAGGGGGGGUGGGUUUCUAGUUACACAACUUGCAGCUUAGGAAUAUUUCUCCUAUCAAAAGGGCCCUUGAAGUGAAGCCCCCCCAGUUUGUAGACAUCCCUCUGGAAGAGGAGGACGACUCCUCUGAUGAAGAGUACUGCCUUGAUAAGGAGGAUGAGACUGCAGAGGAGGUGAGGAAGAGCUUCAUCUCUGCUCCGUUAGUCAAUCAAUUCUGUUCAAUCAGUCAAAAGGGUGUGCUAUGUGACUACAAUGUCAUGCCUGUGACAUUGUCGUUUUGGAGCGACGUGGACAUCACAGGCUCAUCGCCAUGCUGUGCCCAAGUGGCGCAGCCCAGGACCCCUGGACACUCUGAGUGUGAAGAGGACAGAUUUCACAGUCCCAGACAGAAGCCAAGGCAGCCCAGACAUCUGAGGGUGGAGACUGUUCCUAAGGGGCCCCCGUCCUCCACUGGCCCUGCCCGGCCCCUCAGGGCCCAAGUCUGAACCUUCCUGGAGAAGCUUCACGCAGUGGAGGAAGAGCUGGAACUCAGCCCCAUCUGCACCGAAACCUUCCAGCCAUUGACUGGAGGUGCAGGGUUUAGCCUUGUGGCAUGUCGUACCUGCCCCAAACGGACCCUGAGGAACGUGCCUCUGGGCAAGCUGGAGGCGGAGCUACAUUCCCCUGACAUCACGCCUGACAUGUACGACUACAGCUUGGCCCUGGAGGACCGCGACUGGAGCAAGUGGCUGCAGGGCCUCAUGACAUCUGACAUGGAGAAUGACAGUUAAGAUUAAAAGAAAGGGAUAAUGAGGGAGCGUUCAAGGAUGGGCAGUGUAAUAUUGAAAUGGAAUAGUCCAACCAUCUAGAAACCGAUGCAACAGGAUUUUACGCUGUUGCUUAAUAAGGAACACAUCAUUCUCAAAAAUGGGCUAUGGAUUCAUUUUUUCUAGGAGCAAAUACUUUAUUAGUGAAAUGCACAAAAAAGUUGGCACUCCUCCAAACACUGACAAGUGUCAAGCAGGCAGUAGAAGACAGGUGGAGCUGCAUUUAACCUGUGUGUGUGUGUACAUGUUUUACGGGAGGUGUGUGUAGCUGGUUUAAUUGCUCUGUCAUGUUUUGCUAAUUUUGACCUUUCCCCCACUGCUCUGCUCCAGUUUGUCUCCUUCGCUUUUCGAGACGUUCUCGGAUGAUGAGCUAAUAGUGAAUGGGCAGGAUGACUAUGGGCACGAUGAAGAGAGGGAGGAAGCUGCUCCACCCCUGAGCGCUCCGCAAUUCAACGUUCCACAAGCCAUUCGGAGAAGCUCCAGGCGUUUACCCAGCAUGAGGAGGCGAUCAGGUCAGUCCGGGACACAGGCUUCAGCAGCAUUUUCAGGGCCUGAAACCUCCAGGGGGCACUGUCUCUGGUCCAGGAGCAGGAGAGCUCUGUCUCGCCAUCCGCUCUUUCUCCAACCCCCCCUGCCAGGCCUCAAACACGCUCUAACAAUGUGCGUACAUACCCUCUGCUGCCUGCUAAGACGGCCUGGCUGCUCACCACCUGCUCCGUCUUCCUCUAUUCAGAGCUCCUGCCCCACUGCAGCCUGGACCCUCCGCGCACCAAGAACAACAUCUACACACGCGGAGAGGACAGGUACGUGCACACACACUCAUUUACACAUGCAGCACGUCCUGUGUGGGGAGACAAACUCCACAGGAGCUCAUGUUCACAAACAACAGCAACCUGUUCAAAAACAAUCCUCAUUUACACACAGUCCCUGGUCAAAAAUAGCUAUGUCUUAUGUGAGUAUUUUAUGUCAGUGAUGCCUGCUCAGUAUUAAGUUGAAUAUAAACACUUAAAUGUGUGUUAACCCGUGUUGAAAAGAGAGGGUCUCUCUCUCUCAAACCCAUUCAAUGACCGUUCACUGACAUAGUUGGAACUAUGAGGGCCUAUGUCAUCUUUACUGCUACAACCAAGCAUCAAAUUCUUCCUUGCAUGGUUGAAUGUUUGACUAAAGACGAGAUAUUUACUCGCAAUGUGGAUUUUUGUCCCAUACUCAUUGUACUGGGGCUGAAGCACUUCAGCCAGACAGAGCUCCCCUACCAGCUCAUCACAGAUUACUGCACCUGUACAUAGCCCACCUAUAAUUUAGCCCAAACUACUACCUCUUUUCCUACUGUAUUUAAUUAAUUAAUUUUGCUCCUUUGCACCCCAUUAUUUUUAUUUCUACUUUGCACAUUCUUCCACUGCAAAACUACCAUUCCAGUGUUUUAAUUGCUAUAUUGUAUGUACUUUGCCACCAUGGCCUUUUUUUGCCUUUACCUCCCUUAUCUCACCUCAUUUGCUCACAUCGUAUAUAGACUUGUUUAUACUGUAUUAUUGACUGUAUGUUUGUUUUACACCAUGUGUAACUCUGUGUCGUUGUAUGUGUCGAACUGCUUUCCUUUAUCUUGGCCAGGUCGCAAUUGUAAGUGAGAACUUGUUCUCAACUUGCCUACCUGGUUAAAUAAAGGUCAAAUAAAAUAAAAAUAAAAAUGUGUCGCUACCUCAUCCGUACCAAGCGCAGUGUAGCUCUUCUCCCAGCUCCGUCCUGUCCUGGGGGAAUGGCCAGACCUCCUCAGAGACUUUGCGGCCUUCCUCCUCCCGGAGCAGGCUUUGUAGUGUGGCCUGUUUGAGGAGCAGCAGGCAUUUGAGCGGAGUCGACGCUUCCUGAGGCAGCUGGAGAUUAGUUUUGGGGGAAACCUGUCUCACUACCAGAAAAUCGUACGUGCUCUGCAGGGGGGACCUGGCCUCAGACCUGCCAGUAUAGAGGAGCUUAAAGCACAGGAUGUCCUCCCUCCUGAAAGGCCACACGCACUUUCAACGUGCCCAUACGCAGGGAAUUCUGGGUAUUUUUUGACGAGCUCCGCCCACCCCCAGCCCGUCCCGGGCAGUUUGAGGAGGCUUGUUGGCCAGACGAGGCAGGGGGCGGAAUAGACGGAGAUGAUGGUGUUGGUUUGGUUCGGGGGGUGGGGCAAGUGGUGGUUUUGAAGAAGUGACCCUCCCUGAUCUAGAGCAAGAAGAUAUUCCACCAAUGACGGGUCACAGUCAGAGGAAGAUGGGAUCUCAUUGCAUCUACAAGGAGUGUGAUUGGCCAGAAAAGGACUGCUUCUGCCUCUGUCAUGGUGCCAGCCAUGAUGCCAAGCUUCGCAGACUGAAGAUGAAAGGAUGCUCUCGCUGCCACGGCAACAAGGCUUCCGAUGGCGUCCCCAGGGUGAUGAAGAGCCUUGACACCUUCUACCCCACGGCAACCGACCCCACAGCCAAUCUCCACACUGAGACAGGUGGGGGGGGGUGAAGUCGACAGUGGGGUCAACAGUCCACAUUCUGAAGAGCAAGGAGCUCCUUCAUGGGAGGGUCCUGAGGAAGGCUCACUCUCCAUCCCUGAGGAGAAGGAAGAGGAGGAUGACAAAAUUGAGGAGGAUAAGGAUGGGGGGAGAGAACACAGCCCCUCGCCGAAGAGGAGUACGGGGGAUGGAGAAGGCUCGGGGGUGUCUGAUGGCCCCCCAACACCCUUUAGUGGGGAGAUGGAGAACCCCCUGCAGCCUUGUCCCAACCCCUCUUCUGAUCCCUGUGUGUGCCAAAAACAUCUCCCUCACUGCCAGUGGGGAGAAGGUCAUACUCUGGACAAGGGAGGCUGACCGUGUCAUUCUAACCACCUGUCAGCAGCAAGGUGCCAAUCAGAAGUACUUUCCAGGCAAUUUCCACCCAACUUGGCGAUAAAACACUCAAUGAGGUAUCUCGGUGGUUUCGGGACCUGUUGAGCCUGUUCCGCACCGCUGCCUGCCAGGUCAACAUAGAGGACGAAACUAUGGCCACUGAACAGCAGACAGUCACAGACAAGGAGCAGGACAGAACCAACCCAAAAAGGACAGAACCAAGUUCAGACACUUCAAAGGAGAGGAGCAAGAGAGGAUAUUUGUGACUGCAUUAUAUUCAUACCACAUACCACAGCUCGAAAGAUGGCAGCUUUUCAAGUUUACCAUAACCAAUUUUAAACAGUGAGCACUGUUGAAAUAAAUACACCCUUUGUCUUAUCACUCAAAUGCACUACUGAGGGACUAGGGUACACAGUCUCUUAGUGUGGCAAAGGUUAAGUAAGAGGUCGACCGAUUAAUCGGAAUGGCCGAUUAAUUAGGACUGAUUUCAAGUUUUCAUAACAAAUGGAAAUCGGUAUUUUUCGGCGCCAAUUUUUCAUAUUUUUAUAUACCUUUAUUUAACUACGCAAGUCAGUUAAGAACACAUUCUUAUUUUCAAUGACUGCCUAGGAACGGUGGGUUAAUUACUGCCUCGUUCAGGGGCAGAACGACAGAUUUUCACCAUGUCAGCUCGGGGGAUCCAAUCUCGAUAGUGGCUGUUCGUUGUGUUGCUGGUUCGAGCCCAGGGAGGAGCGAGGAGAGGGACGGAAGCUAUACUGUUACACUGGCAAUACUAAAGUGCCUAUAAGAACAUCUAAUAGUAAAAGGUUAAUGAAAUACAAAUGGUAUAAAGGGAAAUAGUCCUAUAUUUCCUAUAAUAACUACAAGCUCAAACUUCUUACCUGGUAAUAUUGAAGACUCAUGUUAAAAGGAACCACCAGUUUUCAUAUGUUCUCAUGUUCUUAGCAAGGAACUGAAACGUUAGCUUUCUUACAUAGCACAUAUUGCACUUUUACUUUCUUCUCCCACACUUUGUUUUUGCAUUAUUUAAACCAUUGAACUUGGUUCAUUAUUCGAGGCUAAAUGGAUUUUAUUGAUGUAUUAUAUUAAGUUAAAAUAAGUGUUCAUUCAGUAUUGUUAUAAUUGUCAUUAUUACAAAUACAUUUUUUUAAAUCGGCCGAUUAAUCGGCAUUGGCUUUUUUGGUCCUCCAAUAAUCGGUAUCGGUAUCAGUGUUGAAAAUUGGGUUUUAGUCCAGGAAUGUACAUGUUUUGUAUCCUUUUUUUUCCAGUUCUCCGAGUUGUGCAUGUAUGGUACAAUAUGGGAAAUAUGAACGGUAAUAAUACCUGUACAAUAGUUAUAUAUUUUAUACAAAAUAAACGUAAUUUAUCCGUU